CAACUUUCAGCAACGGAUCUCUUGGCUCUCGCAUCGAUGAAGAACGCAGCGAAAUGCGAUAAGUAAUGUGAAUUGCAGAAUUCAGUGAAUCAUCGAAUCUUUGAACGCACCUUGCACUCCUUGGUAUUCCGAGGAGUAUGCCUGUUUGAGUGUCAUUG
rnacentral:rRNA from 1 species